rnacentral:rRNA from 1 species
GACGAACGCUGGCGGCGUGCUUAACACAUGCAAGUCGAACGGUGAAGCGCCUUCCUUUUUGGUGGGUGUGGAUGAGUGGCGAACGGGUGAGUAACACGUGAGUAACCUGCCCCCUUCUUCUGGAUAACCGCAUGAAAGUGUGGCUAAUACGGGAUAUUCUGGGUCUGUCGCAUGAUGGGUCUGGGAAAGAUAUUGUUUCGGUGGGGGAUGGGCUCGCGGCCUAUCAGCUUGUUGGUGGGGUGAUGGCCUACCAAGGCGGUGACGGGUAGCCGGCCUGAGAGGGUGGACGGUCACACUGGGACUGAGACACGGCCCAGACUCCUACGGGACGCAGCAGUGGGGAAUAGUGCACAAUGGGCGCAAGCCUGAUGCAGCGACGCCGCGUGAGGGAUGGAGGCCUGCGGGUUGUGAACCUCUUUCGCCAGUGAAGCAGGCCUGCCUCGUUUGUGGGUGGGUUGACGGUAGCGGGAUAAGAAGCGCCGGCUAACUACGUG